rnacentral:lncRNA from 10 species
AAGAAUGCCAAUGGGGACUCCUCUGAGGAACUCACCCUCACACCCUGUGGUUCUGCGGCCUGGGACAAGGAGUCCUGAAGAGCAGUGCCUACCAGCCCCACCAGCCAGGAGCAGGCGCCAGUGCCACUGCAGCAGGGGCUGGCCCAGGAGGACAGCCUCAACCAGCUGGCAGCUGCAAAGUCACAGAUAUCAAGAUCAACAACUUCAUGAGAGUUGUUGACCUUUCAGACUUAUAUGCCUUGGAAUACAUUACGAUUCCAGUGAAAAACAAUGGGAUCCUAACAAAGACCCACAAAGAACUAAAACCCCUUCUGAGCUCAUUUUCAGAGACCGAAGUGACCAUAGACCUGCCAAAUCCAGACAGCAGCCGCAGACACUGAUGCCCAGGCCAGUCAACUGAUGGAUUUCUUUAAGGAGAUUGACCAGAAUAUUGAGUGUGCAUUGCAGUCAGAAAUCUUUUUAUGGGAAAGUUACUGCAUAGAGACCCUCCUAUCAGCAACUGCUCCCAGCUCCUCGAAAGAUGCCAACAAAUGGUGCAGACUGUGGAAUUCAGUGAUGGAAUGUCUUCUUUUAUCAUGCUUCUAGUUGGGAUUGUUUUGCCCAUCUUUCAUUUGGUCUAUUUUAACAUACAGGCUACUGGCGAGACCCUAAUAGCAUGAACACAACUCCUGUCCCCAGUGGUUCCAUGGCAGUGAGUACAAUGCCAGAGCAAAUCCCCAGGUGAGCGAUUCCAGUGCCAACCACAACCUCUUCAGACAGCCAGUUCAGUCAGACCACCCAGCCAGGGAACUAA